GUUACCCCCCAAAAAAAAAAUGUUGUGAAAAGGAAGUACAGCAACAACAACAAAAAGCAAAUCAGUGUUGUAAGCUUAGAGUACAAUUUCAAAGGUCAUUACUAAUGGCAGCAUUUUUUUUAUCUUUUAAAAACAUUAUGCUACAUAUCAGUAUCAUUUUCAUACCUUUGGCUUUUGCUACUCCUGUAAAAAUCAAUUAAAAUGUCAUCCAGCCACUGAAUUACCAUUAUUAUACCUAAAAAGUUUAUAAGAUGACAGUUGUCAUUAUUUCCUGUUUUAUCUCCAUGCUGACAGUUGAGUGGGAGGUAUCAAAAUCCCUCUAAGUCAGAUUGCUCAGUUUUUUGCUGGUAAUCAAACUGCAGUUGUACCAAAGGAAAGUAAAGCUAAGACUACAUCAGAAUCACAGUUUAUUGCAUAUAUGGUAACAGUGUUGUAUGCAUUUGUCUUCUCUCAGUGAUGAGUGACAGGAUGAGGAGAAAUUAUUUGACAUUUUUCUAUGGUUGAAUUAAAAGAUACCUUUCUUUUGCCUUUAGGUUUGGAAGAUAAUAAGAUACUGGAUGUUGACCCUAUCUUAGUUUGACUUGGAGUAAUAAAGAGAGGAGAAGGGGAUGGACUUUGGCUUUUUCAGUGGUUUUUUUUUCCCCCAUAAAGGGUGGUAGUGUCAAUGUUUAUAUCAAUUUUACACGUAGUACGUGACUAUGAAACCAUAUAUCUCAAGUAACUACAAAUCAAUGUCUAUUAUUUAAAGCCAACAAAACAGUGUAGCAGUUUUAAGUUCAAUAAUGUUAAGUAUUGUAUGGAAAUAUAUUGGAGGCAAGUUCAGUUGAUGACAAUUGUGUAUAUGUUACUGAUGCUGUAAAUUAUUUUUAAUAAAGAAAAUUGUAUUAUCA